GCUCACUUUGACAGUGCAUAUAUUAAAACUGAAGCAAUACAGAAAAAAAAAAUUGGCUUGGUUCCUGAGCAGAGAUGACAGAAACUCAUGAGGCACUUUUAUUUUUU
rnacentral:snRNA from 1 species